GAAUAGCCCCGAUGGAAGUGGAAAUCCUGUUAUUGUGAGAUUGCCUCGCAAGCUCGCAAUGACAGAUUAUAACGGACAGCGGAACUGAGA
rnacentral:ncRNA from 1 species